rnacentral:tRNA from 1 species
CAGGGAGACAACAAAAUGUAAAUAUUAAUUUUGUCACCUUAGGUCGAUCGGUAUCUCAGAUUCUUAUUUUUUAAGAAUUUCAGUUUCUAAGUUUUUUCUAGGUCACACCCAUCACUUUUUCCUGGGCCAUUAGCUCAGGUGGUUAGAGCGCACCCCUGAUAAGGGUGAGGUCCCUGGUUCAAGUCCAGGAUGGCCCAUAUCUCUAUGUUGGGGGUAUAGCUCAGUUGGUAGAGCGCCUGCUUUGCAAGCAGGAUGUCAGCGGUUCGAGUCCGCUUACCUCCACUGAAUACCACCUCUUACAUAUAUUUAGAGAGGGAAAUUGUUUUGAGUCGUGUCCUAAUUUGCUCUGAGCGAAUCUAGCUUCCUAUUUUAUUCAAUAAAUAAGAUGCUGGACUCAUUGAAUUUUUUCCAUUGUUUUCAGAGAACCUUGACAACUGCAUAGAUUAUUUUUGAAGACAAUAAGCAUCUUUAAUGAUGCAGAUUUAUUAUUUGUGCGAAUGCAUUAAAUAACAAUUCUAUUAAGCUGAUGCUUCAAUUAUUGAAGUUAUU